rnacentral:rRNA from 1 species
CCAGAGAACUUAGCAGAGAUGCUUUGGUUCCUUCGGGAACUCUGAGACAGGUGCUGCAUGGCUGUCGUCAGCUCGUGUUGUGAAAUGUUGGGUUAAGUCCCGCAACGAGCGCAACCCUUAUCCUUUGUUGCCAGCGGUCCGGCCGGGAACUCAAAGGAGACUGCCAGUGAUAAACUGGAGGAAGGUGGGGAUGACGUCAAGUCAUCAUGGCCCUUACGAGUAGGGCUACACACGUGCUACAAUGGCGCAUACAAAGAGAAGCGACCUCGCGAGAGCAAGCGGACCUCAUAAAGUGCGUCGUAGUCCGGAUUGGAGUCUGCAACUCGACUCCAUGAAGCCGGAAUCGCUAGUAAUCGUAGAUCAGAAUGCUACGGUGAAUACGUUCCCGGGCCUUGUACACACCGCCCGUCACACCAUGGGAGUGGGUUGCAAAAGAAGUAGGUAGCUUAACCUUCGGGAGGGCGCUUACCACUUUGUGAUUCAUGACUGGGGUGAAGUCGUAACAAGGUAGGCGUAGCGAG